CCCAGGCCUGCCCGUCCUGGAAGCCAGUGACCUGGUUGAUAAAGACAGUCCCUUCUACUAUGACUGGGAAGGCCUGCAGCUGGGCGGGGUGAUCUGUGCAGCGCUCCUGUGCAUCGCUGGAAUCUUGUUCGCCCUGAGUGGCAAAUGCAAAUGCAAGCAAGAUCAUAAGCA